rnacentral:rRNA from 1 species
AUAGGGGAGCCGAAGGGAAACCGAGUCUUAACUGGGCGUUAAGUUGCAGGGUAUAGACCCGAAACCCGGUGAUCUAGCCAUGGGCAGGUUGAAGGUUGGGUAACACUAACUGGAGGACCGAACCGACUAAUGUUGAAAAAUUAGCGGAUGACUUGUGGCUGGGGGUGAAAGGCCAAUCAAACCGGGAGAUAGCUGGUUCUCCCCGAAAGCUAUUUAGGUAGCGCCUCGUGAACUCAUCUUCGGGGGUAGAGCACUGUUUCGGCUAGGGGGUCAUCCCGACUUACCAACCCGAUGCAAACUGCGAAUACCGAAGAAUGUUAUCACGGGAGACACACGGCGGGUGCUAACGUCCGUCGUGAAGAGGGAAACAACCCAGACCGCCAGCUAAGGUCCCAAAGUCACAGUUAAGUGGGAAACGAUGUGGGAAGGCUCAGACAGCCAGGAUGUUGGCUUAGAAGCAGCCAUCAUUUAAAGAAAGCGUAAUAGCUCACUGGUCGAGUCGGCCUGCGCGGAAGAUGUAACGGGGCUAAACUGUGCACCGAAGCUGCGGCAGCGACGCUUAUGCGUUGUUGGGUAGGGGAGCGUUCUGUAAGCCUGCGAAGGUGUCCUGUGAGGGAUGCUGGAGGUAUCAGAAGUGCGAAUGCUGACAUAAGUAACGAUAAUGCGGGUGAAAAGCCCGCUCGCCGGAAGACCAAGGGUUCCUGUCCAACGUUAAUCGGGGCAGGGUGAGUCGACCCCUAAGGCGAGGCCGAAAGGCGUAGUCGAUGGGAAACGGGUUAAUAUUCCCGUACUUGGUGUUACUGCGAAGGGGGGACGGAGAAGGCUAUGUUGGCCGGGCGACGGUUGUCCCGGUUUAAGCGUGUAGGUGUGUGUUCCAGGUAAAUCCGGUUCACUUUAACACUGAGGCGUGAUGACGAGGCACUACGGUGCUGAAGCAACAAAUGCCCUGCUUCCAGGAAAAGCCUCUAAGCAUCAGGUAACAUCAAAUCGUACCCCAAACCGACACAGGUGGUCAGGUAGAGAAUACCAAGGCGCUUGAGAGAACUCGGGUGAAGGAACUAGGCAAAAUGGUGCCGUAACUUCGGGAGAAGGCACGCUGACACGUAGGUGAAGU